UCCCUUGUCAAAGACAGAGUGACCAUAGGUGUGUGGGUU
rnacentral:piRNA from 1 species